UACAGAGGUCUCAAGCGUUGUUCGGAUUCAUUGGGCGUAAAGGGUGCGUAGGCGGCGCGGUAAGUCGGGUGUGAAAUCUCGGGGCUUAACUCCGAAACUGCAUUCGAUACUGCCGUGCUUGAGGACUGGAGAGGAGACUGGAAUUUACGGUGUAGCGGUGAAAUGCGUAGAUAUCGUAAGGAAGACCAGUGGCGAAGGCGGGUCUCUGGACAGUUCCUGACGCUGAGGCACGAAGGCCAGGGGGAGCAAACGGGG
rnacentral:rRNA from 1 species